AUUGAACGCUGGCGGCAGGCCUAACACAUGCAAGUCGAGCGGAACGGCGGACGGGCGAGUAAUGCCUAGGUAUCUGCCUGGCAGUGGGGGAGGACGUCCGGAUACGGGCGCUAAUACCGCAUACUUUCAGAUGAGCCUAGGGCGGAUUAGCUAGUUGGUGGGGAAAAGGCCUACCUAGGCGACGAUCCGUAGCUGGUCUGAGAGGAUGAUCAGUCACACUGGAACUGAGACACGGUCCGGACUCCUACGGGAGGCAGCAGUGGGGAAUAUUGCACAAGGGGCGAAAGCCUGAUGCAGCCAUGCCGCGUGUAUGAAGAAGGUCUUCGGGUUGUAAAGUACUUUAAGUUGGGAGGCGUUACCAACAGAAGAAGCACCGGCUAACUCCGUGCCAGCAGCCGCGGUAAUUC
rnacentral:rRNA from 1 species